rnacentral:sRNA from 1 species
CUGCUUCGCCCUUGUUGGGCGUUUCCUCCCUAGACUCAGGCCGCUCAUUGGGCGGCCUUUUUUCUGCCCGCA